rnacentral:rRNA from 1 species
CAUAAUGGAUAGCAAUAUCUAUGGUGGCGACCGGCACACGGGUGCGUAACGCGUAUGCAACCUACCUUUAACAGGGGGAUAACACUGAGAAAUUGGUACUAAUACCCCAUAAUAUCAUAGAAGGCAUCUUUUAUGGUUGAAAAUUCCGAUGGUUAGAGAUGGGCAUGCGUUGUAUUAGCUAGUUGGUGAGGUAACGGCUCACCAAGGCUACGAUACAUAGGGGACUGAGAGGUUUUCCCCACACUGGUACUGAGACACGGACCAGACUCC